CGGAGGGUGCUAGCGUUGUUCGGAAUCACUGGGCGUAAAGAGCGCGUAGGCGGUUUAGUAAGUUGGAAGUGAAAGCCUGAGGCUUAACCUCAGAAUUGCUUUCAAAACUGCUAAACUAGAGUAUGGUAGGGGAUAGUGGAAUUUCUAGUGUAGAGGUGAAAUUCGUAGAUAUUAGAAGGAACACCAGUGGCGAAGGCGGCUAUCUGGACCAUAACUGACGCUGAGGCGCGAAAGCGUGGGGAGCAAACAGGAUU
rnacentral:rRNA from 1 species